rnacentral:rRNA from 1 species
CCUACGGGAGGCAGCAGUGGGGAAUAUUGCACAAUGGGCGAAAGCCUGAUGCAGCAACGCCGCGUGAGCGAUGAAGGCCUUCGGGUCGUAAAGCUCUGUCCUCAAGGAAGAUAAUGACGGUACUUGAGGAGGAAGCCCCGGCUAACUACGUGCCAGCAGCCGCGGUAAUACGUAGGGGGCGAGCGUUAUCCGGAUUCAUUGGGCGUAAAGCGCGCGUAGGCGGCCGCCUAAGCGGAACCUCUAAUCCCGGGGCUCAACCUCGGGCCGGGUUCCGGACUGGGCGGCUCGAGUGCGGUAGAGGCAGGCGGAAUUCCCGGUGUAGCGGUGGAAUGCGCAGAUAUCGGGAAGAACACCGAUGGCGAAGGCAGCCUGCUGGGCCGCAACUGACGCUGAGGCGCGAAAGCUGGGGGAGCGAACAGGAUUAGAUACCCUGGUAGUCCCAGCCGUAAACGAUGGACGCUAGGUGUGGGGGGGCGAUCCCCCCGUGCCGCAGCCAACGCAUUAAGCGUCCCGCCUGGGGAGUACGGCCGCAAGGCUAAAACUCAAAGGAAUUGACGGGGGCCCGCACAAGCAGCGGAGCAUGUGGCUUAAUUCGAAGCAACGCGAAGAACCUUACCAGGGCUUGACAUAUGGGUGAAGCGGGGGAGACCCCGUGGCCGAGAGGAGCCCAUACAGGUGGUGCAUGGCUGUCGUCAGCUCGUGUCGUGAGAUGUUGGGUUAAGUCCCGCAACGAGCGCAACCCCCGCCGCGUGUUGCCAUCGGGUGAUGCCGGGAACCCACGCGGGACCGCCGCCGUCAAGGCGGAGGAGGGCGGGGACGACGUCAAGUCAUCAUGCCCCUUAUGCCCUGGGCUGCACACGUGCUACAAUGGCCGGUACAGAGGGAUGCCACCCCGCGAGGGGGAGCGGAUCCCGGAAAGCCGGCCCCAGUUCGGAUUGGGGGCUGCAACCCGCCCCCAUGAAGUCGGAGUUGCUAGUAAUCGCGGAUCAGCAUGCCGCGGUGAAUGCGUUCCCGGGCCUUGUACACACCGCCCGUCACACCACCCGAGUCGUCUGCACCCGAAGUCGCCGGCCCAACCGAGAGGGGGGAGGCGCCGAAGGUGUGGAGGGUGAGGGGGGUGAAGUCGUAACAAGGUAGCCGUACCGGAAGGUGCGGCUG